UACGGAGGGUGCGAGCGUUACCCGGAAUCACUGGGCGUAAAGGGCGUGUAGGCGGCUUGUUAAGUCUGGUUUUAAAGACCGCAGCUCAACUGCGGGAGUGGACUGGAUACUGGCAAGCUUGACCUCUGGAGAGGUAACUGGAAUUUCUGGUGUAGCGGUGGAAUGCGUAGAUACCAGAAGGAACACCAAUGGCGAAGGCAAGUUACUGGACAGAAGGUGACGCUGAGGCGCGAAAGUGUGGGGAGCAAACCGG
rnacentral:rRNA from 1 species